rnacentral:rRNA from 1 species
GAUGAACGCUGGCGGCGUGCCUAAUACAUGCAAGUCGAGCGAACGGACGAGAAGCUUGCUUCUCUGAUGUUAGCGGCGGACGGGUGAGUAACACGUGGAUAACCUACCUAUAAGACUGGGAUAACUUCGGGAAACCGGAGCUAAUACCGGAUAAUAUCUUGAACCGCAUGGUUCAAUAGUGAAAGACGGUCUUGCUGUCACUUAUAGAUGGAUCCGCGCUGCAUUAGCUAGUUGGUAAGGUAACGGCUUACCAAGGCAACGAUGCGUAGCCGACCUGAGAGGGUGAUCGGCCACACUGGAACUGAGACACGGUCCAGACUCCUACGGGAGGCAGCAGUAGGGAAUCUUCCGCAAUGGGCGAAAGCCUGACGGAGCAACGCCGCGUGAGUGAUGAAGGUCUUCGGAUCGUAAAACUCUGUUAUUAGGGAAGAACAAAUGUGUAAGUAACUGUGCACAUCUUGACGGUACCUAAUCAGAAAGCCACGGCUAACUACGUG